rnacentral:rRNA from 1 species
AUUGAACGCUGGCGGCAGGCCUAACACAUGCAAGUCGAGCGGUAGAGCGAAGCUUGCUUCUCUUGAGAGCGGCGGACGGGUGAGUAAUGCCUAGGAAUCUGCCUGGUAGUGGGGGAUAACGUUCGGAAACGGACGCUAAUACCGCAUACGUCCUACGGGAGAAAGCAGGGGACCUUCGGGCCUUGCGCUAUCAGAUGAGCCUAGGUCGGAUUAGCUAGUUGGUGGGGUAAUGGCUCACCAAGGCGACGAUCCGUAACUGGUCUGAGAGGAUGAUCAGUCACACUGGAACUGAGACACGGUCCAGACUCCUACGGGAGGCAGCAGUGGGGAAUAUUGGACAAAGGGCGAAAGCCUGAUCCAGCCAUGCCGCGUGUGUGAAGAAGGUCUUCGGAUUGUAAAGCACUUUAAGUUGGGAGGAAGGGUUGUAGAUUAAUACUCUGCAAUUUUGACGUUACCGACAGAAUAAGCACCGGCUAACUCUGUG